rnacentral:lncRNA from 1 species
AUGUCCCCUCUGCCCGCAGGUCACCCGAUAGCACCCCCGUGGGGGUCCCUGCUACAUUGCCUGUGCCGUGCCCGUGCUGUCCCGGAGCCAGGUGCGGCGUGCUGUGGUGCUCCCGUCCUGCAUCCCGCGCCGCCGUCAGACCAUGCCAGGAGUCGCCGUUACCCCAUCUCCAGGAUCCCGAAUCAGGGUCAGCACCAGGAGCUCAGAAGCUGGUGGCGGCGCGGAGUCGUCCCGGCGCGGCGCUGGGAGCGCGGUGCUGGCCCUGCAGAGGCUGCAGCCCCGGCGUGGCGGCGUGGCUGGUGCCGUCCGACACCUCCGGCACCGGAGAUGUGCACGUCCCAGGCACCAAAUUACUGCUCAUGUCCGCAAUCAAUCCCAGAACAAAGGGAGGGGGAACCCCUCUCCCGUCUGCGGGGCCUGUCGCGCCAGCCGCAGCGCAGAGAGCUGUGCAGAGACCAGCCUGAGCCAGGCGUCAUUGCGUUGAUCCAGCACGAGGACACGUGCACCCUGCCCUGGCCGUGAGCUCGAGGCCUCCAGGACACGCCGUGUCCCCAGCCCUGCAGCUGGGGGGCACCGGGGGUCCCGUGGUGCUGCUGCCGGGCUCGCCACGGGGGCGUUUCUGUAACGGGGCACGCAAUACCUGCUGCAGAUGCGAUGUAAAUACCAGACUGUGGAAAUAUUAAAUUCAUUUUAAUCUCCGCAAAAGAUCUUUUCAUUCCAAGGCAGAGGGGGCUGCAGGAGCACUUUUCUCACCGCCCACAAGAAAGGCGGGGGGGUCGGGGGCUCUGUCCUCACCUUGCUGUUCUCCCUGGUGCCGGCUCCGAGCCCAGCCGGUGCUGCCUGGGGUCUGCACGGCACCGCUUCAAGCCGCGGCCCCUUCUGCUCAGCACGGGUGGCAUCGCUGGGGGCAUCCUGAUCCUUGUGGGGAUGGGGGGCCCUGCUCUUGUCCCCUGGCUGUCCCGUACCCAUCCUGCAGCGGGGUCCAUGCAGAGCCACUGUGCCUUCCCCUUGGGAUCUGCCUGUUAGAGCUCCCCUUUAAUGAGGAACUGCUCACAGUUUUCUGUUAUUAUUAUUGACUGGUUCUGCCGUUCUGUAAGCAGAGCGCUGGUCCAGUGAUGUGUGGGGAGACGCAUUUGGUGUGAGGCGAGGUGACUGUUGAGGUGCUGCUGAGCUCCCUGCCCUUUGCUCUCCCCUUGCCUCCCGUGUGUUCUCAUUUUGCUCUGAAGAGUGCUGGUUUUCCAGCUGGGGGGUCUGGGGUGGCUGCCGGGCCCUGCGGGGCUCCCCGUGUUACGCCAGGGUCAGCAGAGGUUAGUGCGAGCGUUUUGUGUGAUGGACGCGGUGCUUUGAGGCUGAGAAACACAGCGCUGUUAGCUGCUCAGACGCUUAGAAAUUAUUUUUAUUGUCAUCAGACCAGAGACGUUUAUGCACCAGUUUCCCUGUGCAUCAAAUUGCUUUGCUGGGCUUUUCAGUCCUUUGUGUUUUUAAAGUACGCAGGAUUUAGGCUUUCUUUCAAUUCCUUCAAUGAGAGGCUAAGAAGGAAGAAUGUGUUUUGAAUGAGAGUAGAGAUUUUAAUUCUGUGGAGGCCGAUUUGUAAGUCAAAGGUAAGGGAAAGAUCCCUCGGGUCUGUUUAUAUUUGUGUUGUCCAGCACAGGUUUCCUUACAGGAUAAAUUCAUGUCGCAUUUGCCCCAUUGCCUUGGAUUUGCAAGGGGGACCACAAAAGACAGAAGCUGCAGGGAGCGGUGCCUUUGCAGGUCCCCGGCUGGUUCGGGGCUGGUCACAGCUCGCACUGGGAUGCCUGGGGCUGGGGGCUCACCCCUAACCCCCCCUGUGCGCCGUGGGGCGCGGAGCGGGGCUGCGGCUGGUCCCCGAGGCACCGCAUCCUCCUGGAGCCACCUGGCUCCUGCAGCCCCGGCUAGUCUCAUUACUCAUGCAACUGCCUAAUUCUCUGGCUCAAUAAAAUCUUUUGGCUGUGACUUACGCUCUCUAAU